UACGUAGGGUGCAAGCGUUAAUCGGAAUUACUGGGCGUAAAGCGUGCGCAGGCGGUGAUGUAAGACAGAUGUGAAAUCCCCGGGCUCAACCUGGGAACUGCAUUUGUGACUGCAUCGCUGGAGUGCGGCAGAGGGGGAUGGAAUUCCGCGUGUAGCAGUGAAAUGCGUAGAUAUGCGGAGGAACACCGAUGUCGAAGGCAAUCCCCUGGGCCUGCACUGACGCUCAUGCACGAAAGCGUGGGGAGCAAACAGG
rnacentral:rRNA from 1 species